rnacentral:rRNA from 1 species
AUUGAACGCUGGCGGCAGGCCUAACACAUGCAAGUCGAGCGGAUGAAGGGAGCUUGCUCCUGGAUUCAGCGGCGGACGGGUGAGUAAUGCCUAGGAAUCUGCCUGGUAGUGGGGGAUAACGUCCGGAAACGGGCGCUAAUACCGCAUACGUCCUGAGGGGGAAAGUGGGGGAUCUUCGGACCUCACUCUAUCAGAUGAGCCUAGGUCGGAUUAGCUAGUUGGUGGGGUAAAGGCCUACCAAGGCGACGAUCCGUAACUGGUCUGAGAGGAUGAUCAGUCACACUGGAACUGAGACACGGUCCAGACUCCUACGGGAGGCAGCAGUGGGGAAUAUUGGACAAUGGGCGAAAGCCUGAUCCAGCCAUGCCGCGUGUGUGAAGAAGGUCUUCGGAUUGUAAAGCACUUUAAGUUGGGAGGAAGGGCAGUAAGUUAAUACCUUGCUGUUUUGACGUUACCAACAGAAUAAGCACCGGCUAACUUCGUG